rnacentral:rRNA from 1 species
AACGGCCGCGGUAUCCUAACCGUGCAAAGGUAGCAUAAUCAUUUGCCUAUUAAUUGUAGGCUAGAAUGAACGGGUUAACGAAAUAAAGACUGUCUCAAUUAAUUACCUAAAAAUUAUUUUCUAUCUGAAGAAAGGUAGAUAAUCUCGAAGGACAAGAAGACCCUAUAGAGCUUAAUUUUAAUUAUAGAACUAAACUAUAAAAAUAUUCGGUUGGGGCGGCCCUGGGCUAAAUAAUCACCCACUAAAUAAAAGAUAAAUAAAUCUAAUAAAUGACCCUAUAAAGAUCAUAAAAACAAGCUACCUUAGGGAUAACAGGCUAAUCCCACUUAAGAGUCCUUAUCAACAGUGGGGUUUGGCACCUCGAUGUUGGCUUAGG